UUUACAUACAAAGCCUUAACCUGGCAUCCAAAACAGAUAUGGGGCUAAAGACUAAAAGCUCAACAUUUCAGUGAAGCAUGACAGGCAGCCAAAAAACAAUUUGGCCCAACAUCUUUUGCACAAAUAAUGAUAUUGAAUCACUUUUUUACUCUAGUUAAACAGAUAAUACCAACUUUAGAUAUCUCCUUCAAUAUUCUAAAAACAUAAGCAGUUCAGAGCAUGUGACAAGGUCCAAUAUAUUGGAGGGCUUUUGCGAGAAAUUGGAUAUUGAGAUUCCCGUUACAUUAACAAUGCAAGGAAUAAAACCAAAACACAGUUUCUCAGACAUGUUAUCAAAUAUUCAAAGUGGAGAUAACUGGGCACCAGAAGAACCCUGAUAAGCGAAAGUAGUCAAAUGGAAACUAACUUAUGGUGCAAGAGCUUUCACAAGCAAUUUCAUCAUUUGCAUUGAAAAUCAUCUCUCCCCACUUUCGCCUCCUCAUAUACACUAAUUAUUUUAGCCACAAAGUCAUCUCAAAGAAAUCAAAUAGGAGAGGAGUUUAGGCAAAUGAACACCAAGUGAAUUGGUAUGCACGCUUCAUGCACUGAAGUUAAAAGAGAGAACUCUAUAAUUUACUGAAGGUGGAACUGUAGAAGAGAAAUCUAUAAUCUACUAAACAAUAUAAGGAAUCCCUAAAUACUUAGCCAUUGUUUACUAGACAAUGGAUCCCUGCAUAAAGAAUUUGACAAUUUCAAUCAUGAAAGAAUCAGCUUCUUCAACUAUCUUUUAAUAAUUCACCUGAGCUGCAGCAGCAGAAUGA
rnacentral:misc_RNA from 1 species